UUACAUCAGCAGUCAUCUCUGUGAUAGAGUGUGGAUGGUACUACUGCCAAGUACCCUUGCUGGAAUAUCCACCAAAACCUAGUGGCUAAUACAUGGAUGGAACAGUCUGCUGCAUCAUGGUUGUAUCGGUGGUUUACCAUUGGUACUUCCAGCAGUGGAUUACACUCAGCUGCUUAUGAAGACCGGCGUCUGUACAAAGACAGUGUAUCGAUGGAUGAUUCAGGCUGAUCCUAUUGGACACCUGUGCUCGCAGAGUGGAAUCUUCAUUGGUUCAGCAUUGCUUGAUCACACGAACUUCUGACCUAUCAGCUUGGACUGUAGUGCAGUGGACUACAGUGGCAGUUACGGGUAACGGAGAAUUCGGGUUCGAUUCCGGAGAGGGAGCCUGAGAGAUGGCUACUACUACCAAGGUGGGCAGCAGGCACGCAAAUUACCCAAUGUCAAAGCAUUCGAUGAGGUAGCGACGAACUGCAGCAAUCUUGCUUGACCUUCGUGUUGAGUGAGACUUGUAAUGGAUGCAAUCCAAACACAGUGAUGAGUAUCAACUGGAGGGCAAGUCUGGUGC
rnacentral:rRNA from 1 species